CAGAAUACAGAAUGUGGGAAGAUGGCGGACUUAGCAAUAAUGAAAUGACAAUGAGCAAAAAACUUCCUACAAUAAACCAAGAGUUUUACUGCCAGCAGAGGAACUGAAAACUGUGAGUGAGAAUAAUGUUCCUGAAAAUGUUCCAGCCAUCUCUACACACAGAAGCAGAAAAGAGAGAAGCUAUGGAAUGACUCAGCCCUAAUAGGCCUGAGAGCCAGCCAGCCCAAACCAGUAAUGAGAGCCAACUUGGUAAUAAGAUUCCUCCAGAGAGCCAACCUGGGUCUGCCUAAGGGUCUCAGCAACAGCAGCUGAGACAGGAUCUGAGAUAACCUGGACCAGUAUGAGGAAGCCAUGUCACACCAGCAGAUGCAUACUCAUCAGACC